UACGAAGGGGGCUAGCGUUGCUCGGAAUCACUGGGCGUAAAGGGUGCGUAGGCGGGUUUUUAAGUCAGGGGUGAAAUCCUGGAGCUCAACUCCAGAACUGCCUUUGAUACUGAAGAUCUUGAGUCCGGGAGAGGUGAGUGGAACUGCGAGUGUAGAGGUGAAAUUCGUAGAUAUUCGCAAGAACACCAGUGGCGAAGGCGGCCCCCUGGGUCGGCCCUGACGCUGAGGCGCGAAAGCGUGGGGAGCGAACGGG
rnacentral:rRNA from 1 species